rnacentral:lncRNA from 1 species
UGUUGUUAUUGUUGUUUAAAUCUUCCUGGAAGGCAGAAAGAAAGAGAUAAAAAGGAAAAAACAGCAUUUGUCACUUAUAGUGCUCUGGUUAGCACAGUAGCUGGGCCCCUGAACCCUCUACAGGCCUCCCAAGCUGGCACUGAAUAAAAUGUGAGAAAUGAAAGGAACUUUUCCGUGAGUCUGGCAGCGCCGACAGACACUGAGGUGGCAGAGCUGUCUGGUCCCAGUCCACAUGCAGAGGCCUGCAGCUCCUCCUUCCAGCCCGCACCCACCAGAGCUUCUCAGACGGGCCGUGUCCUGAGAAGGUUGUUGCCAAUGUAGAUGUUUGAGAGGCUCACUGAUGAACAAAUCAACAGAGCAGAUUUAAUCUGAAGAGAUCCAAAUAUUGUGCUUCUUUGGACUCAUAGAAAUGGCGAAAGAUUUAACAUCAGGAAGUACUUAAGUCAGCUAAUUUCUAGAGCCUUCUUCCUCCCUGUCACUUGAUUCUAGAUAGGAUCACCAGUUAGACAUCAGAACCAGAUCUUUUUAUCCAGAGAAGUACCAGUUUGUUGUUUUUCCUUCCGAAGCCAAGUCCUCGAGUUUCAGGUAGACUUCAGUUGAUUUCUGCGAGGUCUUUGCUUUCUCUCUGCCAGAAUAAUCACUGCUGAGGAAAGCAAAAAGCCCCGAAGAGCCUGGCUUGGAAUAAAAACAUGCACCAUACAAGAUUUUUAUGAAGAUUAAAUAACUUGGGCUAAAAUAUUCUGGAAGCUGCCAAGGGCUCUACAGAUGAGCUAUACAGAGGCAUUUGCUGAAAACUGGCCUGGAUUGACAAGCGCAAUGCAAACGUGGCUGCGGCAGUUCCAGGCAUCACAUGGUAACAAGAUCACAUCCAGUGAAGAAGGAAUUCUCAUAAGACAGUCAGCAGAUUUUGCAGGUGAAGAUACACAAAGGAUAGAUCAAGGUCAUGAUUUAAUGCAGAUGGCUGAAUUAUGACCAAAAAAACAUCCAUAGUCAGCUCCAGUCAUAUUUCUGACCUGAGGCUGGGCUUAAGGUCUACACAGCUGGAAACAUCCAUUUCUGAUGCCAGCUACAUCAUUCCCUGAUGAGAACAGUGCCAGCAGUGAACCCCUCACCACUCCCCACACCCAACCCCCACCUCAGUGUCCCCAGGGUAUUAUCAGUUGUGUCAGCCUAGAGUCUCUGAGUUUGGUCUGGCUCUGCCCCUCCCCCAUCCGUUUAGAAAGAAUCUAUUUCUGUUUCUCUCUCUCUCUCUCUCUCAUGCCUCAAUCUCAUGUCCUCCUGCUGACUCUAAAGAGACAGCUGAUUGUGGGAAAGAUUUAAAUUGGGUUAUUCUCUCUUAAUAUAAUUUUUGUAAAAUACUAUAAAUGAAUUUCUUCAUGGCCGCCAAAGAGAAGUGCUGCUAUUUCUAGCACCAGACUGACAGGAAUGGUGCCUGUUAGGAUUAAGUUAAGCUGCAAUGGGAACAUUAAAUAUGGCUUAAACAA